rnacentral:rRNA from 1 species
UGGGGAAUAUUGCGCAAUGGGCGAAAGCCUGACGCAGCUACGCCGCGUGGGUGAUGAAGGCCUUCGGGUUGUAAAGCCCUGUCGGGAGGGACGAAGUUCUGACGGUACCUCCCAAGAAAGCACCGGCUAACUCCGUGCCAGCAGCCGCGGUAAUACGGAGGGUGCGAGCGUUGCUCGGAAUCAUUGGGCGUAAAGCGUACGCAGGCGGUCUGUUAAGUCGGGUGUGAAAGCCCGGGGCUCAACCCCGGAAAUGCGCCCGAAACUGGCAGGCUUGAGUGCGGGAGAGGGAAGCGGAAUUCCUGGUGUAGAGGUGAAAUUCGUAGAUAUCAGGAGGAACACCGGUGGCGAAAGCGGCUUCCUGGCCCGACACUGACGCUCAUGUACGAAAGCGUGGGGAGCAAACAGGAUUAGAUACCCCUGUAGUCCCUGAGCGGGCUGGCAAGGCGCAU